UUAGACCUCAAAUCAGGUAGGACUACCCGCUGAACUUAA
rnacentral:rRNA from 1 species